AUGCGGAAGAGAUAAGUGCUGAAAGCAUCUAAGCACGAAACUUGCCCCGAGAUGAGUUCUCCCUGAGACUUUAGGUCUCCUGAAGGAACGUUGAAGACGACGACGUUGAUAGGCCGGGUGUGUAAGCGCAGCGAUGCGUUGAGCUAACCGGUACUAAUGAACCGUGAGGCUUAACCUU
rnacentral:rRNA from 3 species